rnacentral:rRNA from 1 species
AUUGAACGCUGGCGGCAUGCUUUACACAUGCAAGUCGAACGGUAACAGGCCGCAAGGUGCUGACGAGUGGCGAACGGGUGAGUAAUGCAUCGGAACGUGCCCAGUCGUGGGGGAUAACGCAGCGAAAGCUGUGCUAAUACCGCAUACGAUCUAUGGAUGAAAGCGGGGGACCGUAAGGCCUCGCGCGAUUGGAGCGGCCGAUGUCAGAUUAGGUAGUUGGUGGGGUAAAGGCCUACCAAGCCGACGAUCUGUAGCUGGUCUGAGAGGACGACCAGCCACACUGGGACUGGGACACGGCCCAGACUCCUACGGGAGGCAGCAGUGGGGAAUUUUGGACAAUGGGCGCAAGCCUGAUCCAGCCAUGCCGCGUGCAGGAUGAAGGCCUUCGGGUUGUAAACUGCUUUUGUACGGAACGAAACGGCUCUUUCUAAUAAAGAGGGCUAAUGACGGUACCGUAAGAAUAAGCACCGGCUAACUACGUGCCAGCCGCCGCCGUAACAC